CAAGUCGAGCGAACGGACGAGAAGCUUGCUUCUCUGAUGUUAGCGGCGGACGGGUGAGUAACACGUGGAUAACCUACCUAUAAGACUGGGAUAACUUCGGGAAACCGGAGCUAAUACCGGAUGAUAUUUUGAACCGCAUGGUUCAAAAGUGAAAGACGGUCUUGCUGUCACUUAUAGAUGGAUCCGCGCUGCAUUAGCUAGUUGGUAAGGUAACGGCUUACCCAAGGCAACGAUGCAUAGCCGACCUGAGAGGGUGAUCGGCCACACUGGAACUGAGACACGGUCCAGACUCCUACGGGAGGCAGCAGUAGGGAAUCUUCCGCAAUGGGCGAAAGCCUGACGGAGCAACGCCGCGUGAGUGAUGAAGGUCUUCGGAUCGUAAAACUCUGUUAUUAGGGAAGAACAUAUGUGUAAGUAACUGUGCACAUCUUGACGGUACCUAAUCAGAAAGCCACGGCUAACUACGUGCCAGCAGCCGCGGUAAUACGUAGGUGGCAAGCGUUAUCCGGAAUUAUUGGGCGUAAAGCGCGCGUAGCGGUUUUUUAAGUCUGAUGUGAAAGCCCACGGCUCAACCGUGGAGGGUCAUUGGAAACUGGAAAACUUGAGUGCAGAAGAGGAAAGUGGAAUUCCAUGU
rnacentral:rRNA from 1 species